GAUGAACGCUGGCGGCGUGCCUAAUACAUGCAAGUCGAGCGAAUGGAUUAAGAGCUUGCUCUUAUGAAGUUAGCGGCGGACGGGUGAGUAACACGUGGGUAACCUGCCCAUAAGACUGGGAUAACUCCGGGAAACCGGGGCUAAUACCGGAUAACAUUUUGAACCGCAUGGUUCGAAAUUGAAAGGCGGCUUCGGCUGUCACUUAUGGAUGGACCCGCGUCGCAUUAGCUAGUUGGCGAGGUAACGGCUCACCAAGGCAACGAUGCGUAGCCGACCUGAGAGGGUGAUCGGCCACACUGGGACUGAGACACGGCCCAGACUCCUACGGGAGGCAGCAGUAGGGAAUCUUCCGCAAUGGACGAAAGUCUGACGGAGCAACGCCGCGUGAGUGAUGAAGGCUUUCGGGUCGUAAAACUCUGUUGUUAGGGAAGAACAAGUGCUAGUUGAAUAAGCUGGCACCUUGACGGUACCUAACCAGAAAGCCACGGCUAACUACGUGCCAGCCGCCGCAGUAA
rnacentral:rRNA from 1 species